CCUACGGGUGACAGCAGUGAGGAAUAUUGGUCAAUGGGCGCGAGCCUGAACCAGCCAAGCAGCGUGAAGGAUGACUGCCCUACGCGUUGUAAACUUCUUUUAUAAAGGAAUAAAGUGAGGCACGUGUCCCUUUUUGUAUGUACUUUAUGAAUAAGCAUCGGCUAACUCCGUGACAGCAGCCGCGGUAAUACGGGAGAUCCGAGCGUUAUCCGGAUUUAUUGGGUUUAAAGGGAGCGUAGGGGGGUCGUUAAGGCAGUUGUGAAAGUUUGCGGCUCAACCGUAAAAUUGCAAGUGAUACUGGCAGUCUUGAGUACGGCUGAGGUAGGCGGAAUGCGCGGUGUAGCGGGGAAAUGCUUAGAU
rnacentral:rRNA from 1 species